CCCCACCCCUUUCCACCUAAAACAGAAAAAUCAAAAUGAAGAAAAGGAACAAAAGAGGGAGAAGAAAGAAAAGGAAAGGAAGAAGAGGGAGGUGACGGUAGGGAAGAGGGCGGCUGCCGCUGUCGCGUUGUGGCUGUAGCACUUGUUGCGAUGGCCUUGUCGUUCGUCAUCUCUCUUUCUCUCUGCUGGGGCUUGUCACGCCACCGUCGCUGGUGUUUCCCAUCAUUGCCGACGCCGGGGUUCAGCCGCUCUGUCGCUGCUAGGCCAACCAUUUAAUGCUCCCAUCAUCUUCUCUAUGCAUCCGCGGGCUUUCUCUUUGCCAUCGCGGGACCUGGGCUCUGGUUCCUCUCCCGUCAUGCUAUGUUCUGCUGUGCCGUCAUCGUUAGAGUUUCAACUGCUCCGUUGUCGCUGGGCAAGGGUUUCGUUGCUCCCCCAUUAUUACUGUACACCUGCUCUGUCUCUACUGUCGCUGGCAAGGGUUUCGUUCUUUCUUUUUUUAUGUUUUUUUAAUUUUUGAAGAACAUAAACAUCAUUUUUUUUCUUUCUAAUAUUUUUUUAAUUUCUGUUGUUGCUAAUUUUGGAUAUGAAAUUAAUGAUUGUUGAAUAAUUGUUUAAUUUGAAAUUUCUGUUAAAGGAUAAUUUUAUAACGUUUUGUAACAUUGAGGAUGAUUUUAAUAAGAAAAAAAGGUCGGUGACGAUUUUGAUUUUGACACAAGACGUUAAGAACGAAAAAAGUACUUAAUCCUUAGAUAUAUCAUAUAAGAAACCAUGAUUUAGUCUACAUUAUCCAUAUGUGUUGUUUAUUUUUUAUUUUUUAAUAUAUUUAUUGUUGUUUGUGAUAGUUUGUUCGAAUAGCACUGGUCGUAUUGACAAGAAUCAUAAAGUGAUAUGAAUUGAAAAUAAUUGUGAGUAAUUAUAUAUCCUAUAAGAUAUGUGAUAUUAAUUGGUGUUUAAUUUCUUCGACAUUAUUCAUGUUAAGCCAACUAUCAAGUUCUACGAAAAUGAGAAAAAAGAGGGAAUUUAUUUGUGUAUAAAAUAUGAGGUCUUUCAAAAUUUGUAUGAUAGGUCUAUCGUAAGGGAGUAUUUGCCUAAGACCUUCUAUACGAGAUAGGUCAACUUUUGGCAGCACGGUGAUUAAUGGCAAUUCAAAGGAUUUAGACAUCAAAAGAAGGUUGUAUGUGAUCCAAAAGAUGAAAUUUUUAAGUCAUUAAUGACUUAUAUUUAAAUGUGUGUUUUAUUUCAAAUGUUUCAAUAUUCUAACAAAUAUAUUUGCAUUUGACAUUUUACUUUCAAAAAUAGCAACAAAAUUAUGCCUGGAAAAAACGUAUUCAAGGAGCUCGCAUAGUAAAAAUGGUAGCAAGAAAUCCUAUGAUCCUAUUCUCAAAUGUAGAGGUCAAUGAUCAUCAAGACGGUUCGACUACUCAACCUAUGCAACUUGAAAGAGGGGUCUUUUUAAACUAUGAGAGUUUUCUAAACAAUACCUUUGAUAUUAUUUGAAUUUAUAUUUUUGACAUUUAUUGAUUGAUAUUUACGUGGAGAUUAUAUCAGAUAAACAUACAAAUGAGAUACAUGUUGGCCAAAAUAUUUCCAAUUUAGACUGUAUCCAACCAAAUGAAAGACCAUUUUUGGUAGUGCGUGAUGUCAGAUCAUCUACAACAGUGAAACUAUGGGAGCUAAUUUAUCACAAGUUGGUGCAAGUGUGUGCGAUGAAAAUUAUCAACUCAUUACCACAUUUAUGGAAGUGUAUAGAAAUCAUGUUUAUGAUUGAUUAAUUGAUUACGAAUGUAACAUGUAUUAUUUUUGUAUUUGUUCAGCUACCAUGUGGCUAUGACAAUGUACUAACACCGUCCGUUAUUAACUAUACGUAUUAAUGGCUAUGAUGAUUCUAAUUUGGAUCAA